UGGGGAAUAUUGGGCAAUGGCNGCAAGGCUGACCCAGCGACGCCGCGUGCGGGAUGACGCUUUUCGGAGUGUAAACCGCUGUCAGAGGGGAAGAAGACCUCGGGGGCGAACAGUCCUCGGGGCUGACGGUACCUUCAGAGGAAGCGCCGGCUAACUCCGUGCCAGCAGCCGCGGUAAUACGAAGGGGGCUAGCGUUGUUCGGAAUUACUGGGCGUAAAGCGCGCGUAGGCGGUGAUCCAUGUCAGAGGUGAAAGCCUGGAGCUCAACUCCAGAAUUGCCUUUGAAGCGGGAUCGCUAGAGUCCGAGAGAGGAUGGCGGAAUUCCUAGUGUAGAGGUGAAAUUCGUAGAUAUUAGGAAGAACACCGGUGGCGAAGGCGGCCAUCUGGCUCGGUACUGACGCUCAGGCGCGAAAGCGUGGGGAGCAAACAGGAUUAGAUACCCUGGUAGUCCACGCCGUAAACGAUGAGUGCUAGUUGUUGGGAAGUUUACUUCUCAGUGACGCAGCUAACGCGUUAAGCACUCCGCCUGGGGAGUACGGUCGCAAGAUUAACACUCAAAGGAUAUUG
rnacentral:rRNA from 1 species